AGUGAACGCUGGCGGUAGGCCUAACACAUGCAAGUCGAACGGCAGCACAGUAAGAGCUUGCUCUUACGGGUGGCGAGUGGCGGACGGGUGAGGAAUACAUCGGAAUCUACUUUUUCGUGGGGGAUAACGUAGGGAAACUUACGCUAAUACCGCAUACGACCUACGGGUGAAAGCAGUGGAUCUUCGGACCUUUCGCGUUUGUAUGAGCUGAUGUCGCAUUAGCUAGUUGGCGGGGUAAAGGCCCACCAAGGCGACGAUCCGUAGCUGGUCUGAGAGGAUGAUCAGCCACACUGGAACUGAGACACGGUCCAGACUCCUACGGGAGGCAGCAGUGGGGAAUAUUGGACAAUGGGCGCAAGCCUGAUCCAGCCAUACCGCGUGGGUGAUGAAGGUCUUCGGGUUGUAAAGCCCUUUUAUUGGGAAAGAAAAGCAGCAGGUUAAUACCCCGCUGUUCUGACGGUACCUAAAGAAUAAGCACCGGCUAACUUCGUG
rnacentral:rRNA from 1 species